rnacentral:lncRNA from 1 species
AACAAACAGAAGUCUCAAUGAGACUUUUAGAAAUUCAUUUUUAAAGAAUUUGAUUUUCUUAUUCCAGCCCUUUCAUACCAAUGCACUCUUCCUCUUCUAUGUGCAUUGAACUAAGGUUAUAAUCCCUUGCAGGUGAGGCCUGGAAAUCUAAGGGAGAACCUUUGUUCUUGUAUAAUUAACCUAAUUUCACUACUUCAGUAUGAUAGCAUUAAAAUUUGGUAUUAAUUCUAUAUCAUCCUGUAUGUCUUUAGUCUUCAACUUUACAUGACAGAGAAUGUACCCUCCUCUGUCUCCUUUUUUCUUUCUGUAUAGCUAUUUUAAAUGUUCACAGCUUUUCUUGAAACUUAGCAAUCAGAUAAAACUGUCUUGAUUGAUGUUACAGAAUCAUGGAUUUCCCCACCAAACCAAAGGAAGCCUUCCUCAUUAUCUCUGGUCUCUUCAGCUAGGCCAUGCUCAUCUUCAGAUCAUGGGGACCCCGCUGCAGACAGGCAGGUCUGUGCACACCCUACCGAGGUCCUGAGUCGCACGGAAGAUGCCAAAUCACCCCGCUGCAGACAGGCAGCCACCUGGUUCCACACUACAAAGAUGCAGAGGACACCAGACCACCAGACCAAGGUACUGAGUCCCACUGCUCCCA